UACGUAGGGUGCGAGCGUUGUCCGGAAUUAUUGGGCGUAAAGAGCUUGUAGGCGGUUUGUCGCGUCUGCUGUGAAAAUCCGGGGCUCAACCCCGGACUUGCAGUGGGUACGGGCAGACUAGAGUGCGGUAGGGGAGAAUGGAAUUCCUGGUGUAGCGGUGGAAUGCGCAGAUAUCAGGAGGAACACCGGUGGCGAAGGCGGGUCUCUGGGCCGAUACUGACGCUGAGGAGCGAAAGCGUGGGGAGCGAACAGG
rnacentral:rRNA from 1 species